AUUCUUAUCAUCUGACUUACUCUCCCUCUAUUUUACUCACCCUCACUCUCGACAUCACCACACAUGCCUUCUCCUUCACAUCCAUUUUCUUUUCUUCUCCUUUAACACUAACGUUCUUCUUCUUCUCUUUGCUGCAUCAAGCCCUCAACUUGCAGCACAUACACUCACCAACAUAACCACUCCUUCAUGUUCAAAUUCUUUGCAUUUUGCUGCAGCACAAGCUCACCAUCAUCACCUUUGUUUCUCCCAUUUUCUUCUUCACGUCUUCUCAGCAACAAAACACCACCAUCUUGGCUCUUCAUGUCUCCUCCCACGCGUGACAACAACGCCACCGAGGCCACCCACAACCCCAUCAUGGACGCACCACAUGAACCACACCAUGAACCCUUUUCAGCCAAAACAGAGGAACCACGACAAUCACCAUGGACGGCCACAAGCUCUUCGCCACCGCAAGCAACCACACCCAUGGCCACAAAGAGCCCCUCUGUUUGAGCAAUCACCGCCGCUCCGGACAGCCACCAACAACAACCACAGCGAGCUUCAGCAAGCCACCACCAUGAGCUCAAAGACCAUGAAAAACUCGAGCAAAACAGAGGAGAAGGAACGUGAAAACAGAGGCGAAGUUACGCCGCCGACCCGCCAACUUGUCUCUUCGAUUCCGGUGUACUCGGACCUCCGUUCACAGCGAGGUUAGUACCGUUGGAACCCUUGCAAUGUCCACAAGAAAACCCAUGUUCCGGAUCGUCGUUCCGUCGCUGUUGACCGCCGCCGCUGCCGCCUUCGGGAGCUCUUUCUGGUCAACUCCGACGACCGAUGAAAAGACGGAGGAUACUGCUACGAUCCUUGCCGUGAGGAGAGCGAAAUACUAUUUUCAAUUUCAUAUUUGGGUCAUUUUAUUCGACGACCCCGACGACCACCGUCGACCUUCGGCUAAACUUUAUGGGCAAACCGUCGACUCUUUGGGGAAACGGACAGCGCCGUUGAGUUUCUGGCUGCGAAAGGAUGAAGGAACAACCUUCCUUUGUGUCUCCGGAGACAGUUUCUCCAUCAACCCCGUGAGCCGCAACUUUCUCUCGCGACCCUUCGCAGACAAGUUUCUAAAACUUAAUUUUCGGUGCGAAUAACGAGAGCGCUUGACGACGAAGCUAAAGAAUAAAAGGAAGCGAACCGACACGGGAAAGCAAAGAUGUGUUAAGAUUGGAAUUGCAGUUAGUAUGAGAAUUGGCUAAGAUGCCGUUGACGGAUUGUUUCGUGAUGCUUCGUCGUUCGGGGAAGACCCGGAGCGAAAUGACUGCUACUGAGCCUUCGACGUGGACCCGGACUUCAUGCAGGAUCGGAUGAGGUUCGAUGUUAGGGGUGUAGUAUAUCGGGUUUCGUUGUCAUAACUCUGAUUUUCAUUUCUUAUUUUGGGGCAGGGUAGGUCCCCGACUAUUAGCCUUUUGUGUUGUUCUCUUCCAUGAGGAUCACAGGGAGUUUGUCGGAUGUAGGAGGUCCUUUGGAGGCUGUUUUGGACUGACUUACUUUCUUGGAGGACUGUAUUUAUAAAACUUAUGACUCUGGCUAUGGGUCGCACUUGUUUGCCGUUGGGAAAUACUUUUAGUUACUUCAUGUUACUUCCAGUCACUUGAGGGCACUCGUGACGAUGUUUUUAGUUGCAGCGAGGGUUGUACUUAUAUCGUAUGUUAGUCCCUGUUAAUCGCGAUUGAGUUGAGUCUUUAUUUCGACAAGUCUUUUUAUUUAAACAAAAUGAAAAAAAAUAUCUACUCUUCCGCUUUACUUGAUUUUUGGUUACUAAAGUGACGCCACCGAAAUCGGGGUGUUACAUUGUGGUAUCAGAGCUUGUCGAGUCUUUCGGGAGUCUUUGGGGAAUAGGUCUUCUGUGCUAGGUUGUGUGACUCUGCAAAGAGUAAAAAUUGAUUGUCUGCCAAUCGAUUUUUCGCUUAGAAUUGAUUGAAGUUAUUGCUUAAUCAUAUUGUAUAGUUAUGGAAAAGCUAUCUUAUGAUUAGUACUAACUGUUGGUUUAACUAAACCGAACGAUGAUAACCUUCUAACCAUUCUUUCUCAUUCUAGUAUAAUUCGCUUCAUUACUCUCGUAGCGUGUGCAACACACCUAACUUAGUUAUACUGUUUGAGCUUUGACCUUACAGUUAUUACACCUAUUAAGACUUUAUUUGCCUGUUGCUCGUGUUUAAACUAUAGGAGUACACGAGGUUUAGAAUAACACGCUAAGCCUAGAAAGUAGUCUUGCACCGACUGCUUGUUUUUCACUUGGGGGUUACUGCUUCCACCAAGACUUUAAUCGUCAUUGUUAUUUUCCUGCAGUGCCAUGUGGUAUUUUAGACAGAGAUUGCUAUGCUUCUGAUAGUAAUAGGGAUGAGUAUAAGACACAUUCUUCCGACUAUUGUUUGUAUUUAACUAUAGAAGUUAUAUAGGGUUUAGAGAAGUUUUCUAAGUCUUGAAGUUUGUCUUAGACAUGUACGAGUUGGUAAGAAAGGUAGAAGCUAAGAAUGAAUCCUAAUGGAAUGUUGUAUGAGUUUCAGGAGUUAAGGUAUAUCAUUUUCCAGAUGUAAAUGUUAGAGAUUGAAUAGAUUAAGAGAUGAUCUCAGAUUAGAUAUGACUACUUGAUGAGAUAAACUCUAUGACUAUUUUAUGAGAUAGACUCAUUGGCCUUACUAGUGAGUUUUUCUAAAUUUUCAUCGCCAAGAUAUUGAGCCUGAUCAACUUAAUAUUGAGGGGGUGAUAUUCGGAAUCACAGCUGGCAUGGACUAUGAUAGGAAGAUUGAUUAGAUUUGAUCAAUGAUUAGUCGAGUUUGGUAGGUAAGUUUAUGAUAAGCACUUGAUUGUAAAGGAUUAAGAUUUAAAUCUUUGGAAGUGAUGAUUGUCGUAUAGACAUUAAUUGGUUAGUUCGCGUGAUUACUCCAAGUAGAGGUAGACUUAGUCAAGAGAUUUAAAUGUUCGAAAAAUCUUAAGUAAUCUUCUCAGAAGUUAUGAAGUCAUAGGUUAUGUGAUUUCUGAGGUGGAAUUGUUAAGUGUAAGAUCAAGUUUUGAUCUAGUAGUACAACUCUAUGUUUUGAUGAUUACAAGUUAACCUUUUGAUAUGAACAAUUAUGGUACUCUAACGUGUUUUUCUGAGUGUGCUAUUUACAGGCUCUGACCUCAAUUCAAUCCCACACAAAUCAGAAGCACUGUGCAUAAAGAGUGACCCAAGCAACGCUUUCGCAUUGACCAUGUUCAAUAUGAACAGUGGAAAAGCUUCAGAAGUUCUGAAGCUACACAAACUCUGAGGUGGACUCAGUCACUAGAAGCUCUGAAGAUCCAGAAGUUCUGAUAACCAAGAAACACUUAAGGUUCAGAUGUUCUGAUGUUGUAGAAGACUCUGAAGAUCCAGAAGCUGAUUAGUGGAAACUCUGAUGUCCAGAAGCAAGAAACUCUGAAGACCAUGUACUUCCCUCUGAGUUCAGAAUCAGAAGAUACAACGGUCAGAGGAUCUGUGCUUUCCCUCUGACUCUGAUCAACCGGCUUCACAAGUUCCAACAUGAAGCAUUCCCCUGAUCAGAAGUCUCCUAGGUUUAAAGGUCAAGUCACUAUCCAAGUACAAAAGCAACUGUACCAUCCUAACGACCUACCUAACGUUCUCAGCCACAGCAGAAGCUGGAAUUUCCAGAACUGCCCUCCAACGGUAGCAUUUCCAUGCAGCGUUCAAACCCUAAUCCUUGGAGUAUAAAUAGAGGCUGACGUUUGAAGAAUGUGGUUGGAAGAAUUUACACAAGCACAAGCUAUAUUCAAAAUCCUUCAAGCAUUCUUUCAUCUGAAAUUCAUUGUGUUUACUAUUAGCUUUUCAGAAGCAAAUCUCUUGUAAACAUUUCUUUGAUAAACAGUUUGU